AUCUUGUGAUUCCUUUUUCCUCCUGAACCCUCCGGUGGGGGUGCGAGUUUGUCUUUAUCACCCCCACCCCACCGCCUUCUUUUCUUCUCGCUCUCCUACCCCUCCCCAGCUUGGUGGGCGCCUCUUUCCUUUCUCGCCCCCUUUCAUUUUUAUUUAUUCAUAUUUAUUUGGCGCCCGCUCUCUCUCUGUCCCUUUGCCUCCCUCCCUCCGGAUCCCCGCUCUCUCCCCGGAGUGGCGCGUCGGGGGCUCCGCCGCUGGCCAGGCGUGAUGUUGCACGUGGAGAUGUUGACGCUGGUGUUUCUGGUGCUCUGGAUGUGUGUGUUCAGCCAGGACCCGGGCUCCAAGGCCGUCGCCGACCGCUACGCUGUCUACUGGAACAGCAGCAACCCCAGAUUCCAGAGGGGUGACUACCAUAUUGAUGUCUGUAUCAAUGACUACCUGGAUGUUUUCUGCCCUCACUAUGAGGACUCCGUCCCAGAAGAUAAGACUGAGCGCUAUGUCCUGUACAUGGUGAACUUUGAUGGCUACAGUGCCUGCGACCACACUUCCAAAGGGUUCAAGAGAUGGGAAUGUAACCGGCCUCACUCUCCAAAUGGACCACUGAAGUUCUCUGAAAAAUUCCAGCUCUUCACUCCCUUUUCUCUAGGAUUUGAAUUCAGGCCAGGCCGAGAAUAUUUCUACAUCUGUGAGUAUAUAGAGAUUUAUCGUGUUGUAGGGCAGCUGCAAGAGCCCAGACUAAUUUUUUACCCAUGUUUCAGAGAAUUGCAGAGAGCUGGACUCUGCAUUACAGAUGUCUCCUUGUAAAUGCGUAGAUCAGGAUCCCUAGAUACAUUAGCUGGGAAUUGAGAGCACAAAUUAGAUUAAAGACAGAGCGCCUCUCCCCCUAUGAAAUUACGUGUCAGCCUGUUCACUGAACCACUGCUGAC
rnacentral:sRNA from 1 species